GCGCCGAGCCCGCCCGCGGGCCUGGCCGGGCCGGGCCGCAGCCGCGCGCUCCCAGCCCCGCACGCCCCGGGCCGCUGCUCUGCUCCGGGGAAGCUGACCAGGCCGCCAGCCUCCUGGGCCUUUAGUUGCGGCCAUUGCUUCCCGGCCUGCGCGCUCCCUCGCCCCAGAGUAAGACGUCGGGACCCCAGGAGGUGAGGACAGGCCAGUCACCCUCCCCUCCCAGGGAGGCCAGGCAGGUAGGAGGCAACGAGGCUCAGUCGCUGAGGAUGGGGUCUCCGAGCACCUGGGCGAGCACCUGGGCGUGUGGUCCCUGGGCUGGCCUGGGGCUGGGGUUCUGGGGGAAGGUGGGCAGGGGGGUGGAGUGGAAGGGGUUGCAUGGCUGGCUUCCUGUGCAGACCUGCAGCUGGUUCUAACAUGAGCAGAUACAUAUUAAACAGACAUCCCAUCCCGGGGGCCUGUUCAAGGGGAGGGGAGGAGGGGAGCCAGUCUUUUGACGCCCCCCCCCCCCCCCCCCCCCACGAGGAAGUUCUGUUUCCCUCUCUUCGUUCAUCUUUGCAGUUUUAUGUUUCAGACGUCCCUGCUCACAGUCUGGGUGUCGCAGGUUCUGCUCGGGGUCCCUGGGCCCAUGUGGCCAGAGCCUGCCUGGUGGCAGAGGCAGAUGGAAAGAAGACACAGUGGCCAUCUGUCUGUACAUCCCCAUUGGCCUCAUUGGCCUCCACCCAGAUGCCUCUGGGGGGAACUGGGGUUCGUUUCCCGUCUAGUAUGUUCCAGAGGUUUGACAGGAUGAAAGCCAGAGGCUUUUUCUCACAGGGAAUAAGAAGCGGGCAGGGGGGUGGCAGGGGGAGAAUUUCUAAUCUUGCCAGUCUGGGGAAUUUGGGGGCCAGGUGUCAGGAAACCCAUUAAAGCAUCAUUGUAAUGCCUUAGUGAGUUGUUUUAAUAAAUCACAUCUUUUCGCUGUAAGAGUAAUACUCGUUCAUUAGAGUUUGAGAAAGUGAAUCUAAUUAAUAACCUAACUACGUGGAGAUGUGGACUAUAACUGUCUUGGCGUGUUUUUUUUCCCAGUUUUUAAAUAGUGCUGUGAUGAACAUUUCUGACGAUAUUAUAGCCACCCCCCACCCCUUAUCCGCAGGGGACACGCUCCAAGACCCCCAUUGGCCUCCUGAAACCAUGGGCAUUGCGGACCCACACGCAGGCUGUUCACUCCGGUACAUACACACCUGUGAUUAAGCUUGGCUGGUAAACUAGGCCGAGGUCGAGAGUGAUGAUAACAUAAUAAAAUAGCCUGGUAGUAACGGCAUGCCGUGCUGUGGUUACGUGGCUGUGGUCUUGCUCUCCUGUCGCCCUGUGCUCACCCCUCUAGGAUGCCGAGGGGUACAGGCGUGGGGUGCCAUUGGGGGGCUGCUGCUGGCCUGAGCGUCUGGCAGAAGCGCCUGCUUCUGGACCGUGGCCACCGCAGGAACGGAGGUGGGGGGCUGCUUGGAAGUGUCCUUGGAAGUGGCCUGAGUGUGUCGUCCGGGUAAAUUCCUCAAACAGGCACUACUGAGCCAAAGACUACCACACAUUUUGCCACGGGGCCCUCUGGAGGCUCUGAUUGAUGUGGUGUCCCACGCCCUGUCCCCACAUCCCCCUGUCUCUUACAGGCCACACUGUGCAUUCCGGUUCAGGCUGACUCGAGGAAUGGGCCUUUCUUUGCUUUGAUUUUCAUGCCUUUGACUAUUGGUGAUGUUGGACAUCUUUUGAUUUUGCUGGCAGCCGUUUGGAAGGUUGCCUGUAUGAGUUCUUACGCAUUUUCUUAUUUCCUCUCUUUUUUGUACUCUAGAGCUCUACUCAAGGGCUUAGCUCCUCUCAACGAUGUACUCAUGUGCAUCACAUCAAUUUUUCAGCUCGUCUUUUUAACUUUGGAAUUCACCUUUUGUUUGUGAUGCAUAGAUUUUAAAUCUGUCAGGUUUCCUGAUAUGGAUUCUAGCUUUGGGGAAAAGUCUAGGGUAGCUUUCACCACGCCAAGAUUUCAUAAGCCUUCCCCAGUUCAGUGGCUAGAUUUCCAAAUAAGAGAACUAGAUAAGACACGAGGGGGACGAGAGUUCACCUGAGGAAAUCAGAGGCCAAAGUGUGUGGUGUGGAAGAAACAGUCUCUUCCAAGGAAGGGUGCUUUCUCCACUUCUGUCCAAAGGCACGACCUUCAGAUAGAUAUAUAUGAGCCCCUCCCUCACACACACACACUCACAGAUGCAUACAUGCACACACAUGCACGCACCCACAAACACACACAUGCACACAACAGAGGCAUGCAUGCAUGCACCCCCCACAUACAUGCACAUGCACGCAUGCACGUACAAAUGCACACACACGCACAUACACGCACUUAAAGGCGCACACACACACACAUGCAUGCACACCCACACAUAUUUUUAACUUUUGGAAACCUUAUCUCUUGCAUAUUGUAGGAUCUUCAUGGGAAGAACAAGAAGCAACAUCUGUUUUUCAUCAAAACUCUCCUGUCAAGACUCCUGGAUGGCUCAGUUGGUCAAGUGUCUGACUCUUGGUUUCGGCUCAGGUCCUGAUCUUGGGGUGGUGGGAUUGAGCCUCACAUUGGGCUCUACAUUCAGCAUGGAGUCUGCUUGAAAUUCUCUCUUCCUCUCCCUCUGCCCCUCCUCUCCUUGCUCCUGCCUCUAAAAUAAAUAAAUAAAUAAAUCUUUAAAAACAAAUACACGACAAACCUCUCUUAUCCUAAGAGGUGUUGGCUUUGGUGGUGGGGACUCUGGUCCACCCCUCCCACAGGGGGCCUCCAGUCAGCCCAGGCCCACUGCUUUGAGGAAGGAGAGUCCAUGACUGUGCUUUUGGCUGGCUGGGCCACUGUGGGAGCAGAGGCAACAGUGGCAGGGCUUCUGGUCAGGCCACUCUCCCCAGAGAUGCCUCUGGCCCUCCGUUUGCCCUUUUGUCAUGGGAACAGUGGAUCCCUAGGGAACUUACUGUCUACAUCUGCAAGGAAAUGGCCAGGGACACUGGGGACCAGAGUGGUGCUAGUAGAGAAGCUGGGGCCCUUUGGAUUGUUUCCCUUCACAGAGAUAAUGAUGCUCUCAUAAACUCAAAUGAAAGAAGGCGCCCCCAACUCGAAGUUUGACAGUCUCCGAAGACCUGGGGGAGGCGGGUCCUGCUCCUCCUCAUCCCUGUCUUUGUGAAAUGAGAAAUGCACUGGCUCUACUUGGAAGCUGGUCUGAGGCCACACUCACACCGUUCAUACAGGGGGUCCCUACGAAGACUGUUCUUGGCUCUUUAAAGCAGAAGACCCCCCAGGGACCAGCAGCAGGGUCAGUCAGGUUUGUGUCCUGGUCCCUCCAGCAGGCAUGGCCGUCUGUCCAGGGCAGUGUCAGGGGAUCCUGCAGCCUGAAAAUGCUUUCCCCUCCGGGCCUGAGUAAACAGAUGGGGACUCCUGGCUCUGGGUGCCCCCUGGGACCCUGUGAAGCUUGGAGGCGAGAAAUUGUACCAGGAUGGAGACAGAGAUGGAGACGGGAGGGAAGCUCCUCCAGGACAAGGAGGCUGAACUUCAGAAGGACUCACAGGAGCCAGAACUCUCAAGCCAGGCCAGUAUCCUGAGGUGUGAGCCGUCUACUCCAGCCCGAACCCCAGGGCCUCCUCUUGUGGAAAUGACCUACAUGUCGGGUUUCCAGGGACUCUCUUAUAGGAAUGCUCUUUUGUGGUUAGAUUCGAGGUAAAAGGCCCAGCUUAAAGUUUCCCUCCCAGCAAAUUCAUCCAAACCUUGUGAGUGGAAGAGGCUGUUGAAAAUGUGUCAAGAAUGAUAAAGCUCAGCCAAAAAAUGGGAACCUGAGAGAGUUCUCCUAUAUUGAUGGAGACAAUGAGGAAAAUGAGGACGUGAAUGGGGUGGGGAUUGCCUGCCUUGAACCACUGCCAGGUGCAAAUGACCUGUCCCAUGGGACUCCUUGCUGCCAGGUAUGUGCUCUGCCAAGUGAUUUAUGAAGACCGGCCUGACGGCGAGUACAUGAAUCCCUCUAACCAGACUCAAAAAAGAUCCAAGGUCUAGGAAAAGUAUUCCCUCUAAACCAGAGGUUCUCGAUGGGAGGUGGUAGGGCCUCCUGGGGACAUGUGGUCACGUCCAGGGACACUGCUGGCCGUCACAACUGGGGUUGCUGCCCACAUUUGGCAUCCAGUGACCGGGGACCCCAGCAUGGGAAGUCAUGCAGCCCCACUGGGAGGAGGGCCGUGGCUGGGGACCCUGCUUUCAGUGAAUCUUUCAGGAAAAGCAGAGUAGCAAUAUGAAUUUUGGCAGGAAGAAAUAUAGAGGGUUUUAUAGUUUUGUGUAAAAAUAUGUUUAUUAUCAAGGAAAGAGCUCCCCUCCCCCACUGAACUACCUCCUCUCAGAGUCUCUUGGAACUCAAAAAUCAUGGUUGCUCGUCUACCGUGAUGAUUUAAGGCAAAAGGAGAAUUAAUUGGUUUAAAUGUUCCAACUUGAAGGAGAGUUUUGGUUGAUGGAUGCACAUCUGCCACACAGAAGGCGCUUAAUAAAUAUUUGUAGGAUAAAUGAAGGUGUGCAAUCCUGGCUGGCAUGGGGAAAAGGCAGGAGUGUGAGAUCCAACUCCCAAUGGGGACCAGUAACCCUCCCUGCUCCCACAGCUGGACAGCGGGGUGCCAGCCCUCCCAUGGGAGGAUGCGGCAGGCCUGGAAAACCCUCUCCAAGCUCCACAGCUCCCAACUUCAGAGCAAUAAUUAAAAAAUGCUCUCUGGAGUAGGAAUUUUUAUAUUAAUGUAUUUCAGCACAAGUGCUUCCCUCUGUUAAGUGUCUUUUACAAAAGUGUGUCAUCCUUCCUCAUAGAAAGUAUUCUUAGGACAUGGUAGUUAGACCCUCUGCCUAGGGUUGUAAAAUCUCACAGGCCAGCUGAUAUCCAGGGCUCUGGUCGGGAGAGGAGGGCAGAUGGCUAAGAUGCAAAUGCAGGCAGGUCGUAAAAUCCAGUGUGUGUGUGUCUGCGUGCAUGCACAUGUAUGCACACAUGAGUGUGCAUGGAUGCUGCACGCGUGUGUACACACCUGUGCAUGUGUGUGUGUAUGCAGGUCAUAAAGAAAUGCAAAUUAUGAUCCAAAGGUUCACUACAUGGGUGGUGUGGUUAAUGUGCAUGCGUGUUCAUGCAUGUGCACGUGUGAAGGGGAGAGCUUCCCCUUCUAGGUGGCUGAUGUGGGAUCGUGCCAACCUGGAACCCUGUGGCCACGUGGAGAAGGCUCAUUUGCAGAGGGAGGGACAGAGAAGGAGGGAGACAGAAAUGCCCCAUAGCCUCUGCUUGGUCUCUGGACCCCAGCUCCCCGCUGCUGGAAACUUCCUUCCUGGGGUAAGCUGCUUUGCCUUGUCUCCACCUCUUGUAAUGGAAAGUUCUGGCCAAUAGACCUUUCCAGCAGAUCCGUACUCCUGAGGAUCUUGACGUUCACCAAGUCCUUACAUGGGUGAGCUCAGACAUUUGUAAGACGUGAGUGUUUAGAUAGCGAACCAAUUUCAGGUUGUUCGAGACAGGAAGCCGUGGGACAACUAUCGGUCGAUGAGUCCCGGAUGUGACCGCUUCUGUGAAGCGUGCCACCUAGCCGGAUGGUUUCACCAUAACGUGUGAGUCCUUGCUGGGGGCAAGCCAGUGCUGGGGCCGUACUGAGGCUGCGCUGUUGCAGUGCAGGGAGCACCUGCCAUCCGCCUCUCCAUGGGCUUGGGCCUCUCCCAGCUGUGGCCGGGUCCAGAGAGGGAGCUUCCAGGAGGAGCUGGCGUUCCAGGAGCAUCUGGUGAGGGCUGCCCGGGUUUCGGCUGAGGGAGGAAGCGGCCAGAGCCCACCCCGCUCUGGGGAGACGGACAGAGACCCCACCACCCCAAGGAAAGAGGGUCCCAGACUUCAGGGUCAUGUUUUAUUGCUGCCACACGUGAGCUCCUAAGACCUCUUCAAGCCAGGAAUGUAGCUUCGUGCAAAAAUUCCUAAGGAAGAACACACUUCUGUCCUUUGUGUCGGGGGACAGUGGGGACCAGCUCUGCAGUGCUAGGAGUGCAUGGUGACCUCUGGAGUGCACCAGGAAACCUGGAGCUCUCCAGAUCUUUACACCGCCCAGCCUUCAAGCUGGCUCCCUGCUGCCACUGAGAGAGAGUGCCGUCCAACUGUGAAAGCACUAAAAAAAAAAAAAAAA